GCCAGGUGCGGUGGCUCACGCCUGUAAUCCCAGCACUUUGGGAGGCCGAGGUGGGUGGAUCACCUGAGGUCAGGAGUUCAAGACCAGCCUGGCCAACAUGGUGAAACCCCAUCUCUU
rnacentral:SRP_RNA from 1 species